UACGAAGGGGGCUAGCGUUGCUCGGAAUUACUGGGCGUAAAGGGCGCGUAGGCGGCACUGUUAGUCAGGCGUGAAAUUCCUGGGCUCAACCUGGGGACUGCGCUUGAUACGGCAGAGCUAGAGGAUGGAAGAGGGUCGCGGAAUUUCCAGUGUAGAGGUGAAAUUCGUAGAUAUUGGGAAGAACACCGGUGGCGAAGGCGGCGACCUGGUCCAUUACUGACGCUGAGGCGCGACAGCGUGGGGAGCAAACAGG
rnacentral:rRNA from 1 species